ACAUAUUUAUCAUACAGUAACACAAUGAUAGAUAUACGGAAUGAAACCUUCAGGUCUGACAUAUUUUUACAGAGCUUCUUGAACAUUCCAACCCAGCUACUUGGACUCGUCCUGCGUCACAUGUAUGCAAGAUUGUGUUGCGUGAACUAGACGGCAAGCGCAGCUUCGGAGUUCCUCGAAUUUUCUGCGCUUUUUUACGUCAGUUUCUACCCAAUUUUGGUUGUCAUCGGUGGCAGAACAUCAUAAGGAGGAAUGCCACGUCGACGUAAGAAUAAGACUUCUGCUGAAUUGAUGAGGCUGAAUGCCUGGAAGGGACAACAGGAAACAAAGACAGCUGGUAAGCAGGAAUUGGAGGUAAGACUAAGAGGGCAGAAGCCAGCUGAUGAGCAGGAAGUGGAGGUAAGAGGUCAGGUGCCAGCUAAUGAGCAGGAAGUGGAGGUAAGAGGACAGGAGCCAGCUAAUGAGCAGGAAGUGGAGGUAAGAGGACAGGAGCCAGCUAAUGAACAGGAAAUAGAAGUAGCAGGACAGGACCUAGAUGACAAGCAGCAAUUACAGGUAACUGGGCUGGAGCCAGCUGAUCCAAAGGAAGUAGAGGUAACAGGGGAGUGGAAGGAUAGCGAGUUCACAUUCAAUCCCUUCACACAAAAUGAUCAAUUGCAACUAGCAGGCCAGUUGAACCUUUCUGUUCAUCGAUAUCUCAAUAUUCAGGAAAGGAAUGUUCCUUUGGAGGCACCAAUCAGUCC